rnacentral:ribozyme from 13 species
AAAGGGAGAUUCCCAAGGGCAGAAAGAGAAGAAGAGAAACCAACUUCUGUUUCUUUCUUAAAUCACACCAAUUUUUUCUCUUUCUCUUUCUCUUUCUCUUUCUCUUU